UACGUAGGGUGCGAGCGUUACUCGGAAUUACUGGGCGUAAAGCGUGCGUAGGUGGUUUGUUAAGUCUGUUGUGAAAGCCCCGGGCUCAACCUGGGAAUGGCAAUGGAUACUGGCAAGCUAGAGUGCGGUAGAGGGUAGUGGAAUUCCCGGUGUAGCGGUGAAAUGCGUAGAGAUCGGGAGGAACACCAGUGGCGAAGGCGGCUACCUGGACCAGCACUGACACUGAGGCACGAAAGCGUGGGGAGCAAACGGG
rnacentral:rRNA from 1 species